rnacentral:ncRNA from 2 species
UCAGCGUUCCCGGGGUGCUUGAUUCCGCUAAUAACGGAUAAAGGCUGAGAUAAUACCCGUAAACCUGAUCAGGGUAAUGCCUGCGCAGGGAAGGAUGGUUCCUUUCUU